rnacentral:sRNA from 1 species
UUGUGCUAAACCUGGUGAAAUAAAAUGAACAUGAAUAUCCAAUCCACCCGCUGUUACGAUUAGACCCUCAGCAGAAAUUGCUUCCGUACUAGCACCAACGACAAAGUCUAUGUCAUCCAUAUUAUCUGGAUUUCCGCCUUUACCAAUGGCGAUGAUCUUACCAUCGCGGAUCCCUAUAUCCGCUUUAAUAAUUCCUGUAUAGUCAAUGAUUGUUGCAUUGGUGAUAAUUGUAUCUACAACCAGUGGAUUUGCUGCACGAGUUUCUGUAGCGCUUUGCCCCAUGCCAUCUCUCAA